UAUGUCUCUGCCGCAGCCUCCUCCCCCCCCCCCCCCCCCGCACUGCCCGUUCCCGGGGGGCUGGGCAUGCUCGUUUGAGAGGCCUGAAAAGUGCCCGUGCUGCAGCCGUGACCUGAGCCCAGGGCAUGCAGGAGUCAAGGGGCAAGCUGCCGAAUCUUGGCCAAGCGGCUCCUCUUUUUACUUGUCAGCAAACUAGUUCAUUUUUUUAGUUGUCAUCAACAGGCUCCUCUGUACAAAAAACCCCCCAAAAAACCUAAUAAAAAAUAAAAUGCACCGAGAGUGCGAGCAAGCUGGCAUGGCCUGUUGCAAAGGGUUGUGCCCUAGUGCAGGAGGAGGUGGGAAGGCUCCUGUGCAGGUGAAAUGGGAAAGGCCUGUCAAGGUGGAAACUCCACUGUGUUUCUGUAGUGCUGGGUGCUGAAAGGUUAAUCAAGGGAGGGAGGGGUGGCUACUGUCCUGUAACAGAUCCUGAUGCCGGCUAAAGACUUAAGUGAAAAAGUUGGCAAACAUUGGUUUGUGCUUUUGGGAAGUUGAGGAAAUACAAGUUUGGGUCUGCUAUGUUACAUACUUGCAGGCCCCUUUUUUUCCUUUUUUGAGAACUGCUGUGGUAAAACUCAUGACUAAAUCUAAUAUAUGAUACAGGACCUACAGAUAUGAAGUAGCACAAAUAAAUGUGACCAACAAAGUUUACUUCUUGUUUUUAGCUGUUUAUAUGAAUCGGGGUGAAUCUCUUUUGCAAGGGGCAGAGGAUUUGCCUGGUAAAUAAAGGGAGGACCCUUUUAUACAUGCCACAUCCAUUUUUGCUGCAGGCCAGACUGAAAGUCCAGACCUGAACUGAUUAAUGUGCCAACCAGUUGGCAGCUCAAGGAAGUUGGUGAUGGGUUGUGAAUAAUUUUGGUCCUAAAACUUUUUUUUUUCCCUAAUGAAAAUUGAGUUUGAAAAACAGUGUGUGGGCACAAAGCAGAUAUUUUAUCAGUGAAAACUUGAGAGAACUCAUUUUUUGUUGAAAAAGUGUUGAUUAUUAGGAGUAAUGAUUUGGAGCAUUGGCUUCCAACCUUUUUGGAUUCAAGGGACCCCCCCUGAAAAUGUUAUCUUGGUUUUCACUUUUUUCUUUUUUUGACUACAGAAAAAUAAUAGACCGGUUCUGCUGUUGCAAAGAACUCAGGUCACAGAUCAGAAGGCUUUUAAUAUGAAUUUCUGUUUAUUUUCUCUGAAUUUAUAUUUUGACUCAUGUUUCCAUUCCUAAGACUGCUACGGUUGUGCAGCCCCCUAUGGCAGCCUUGAAGGAGUCUUGGAGCACCCCAGCAUGCUGCACCACCCUAGUUAUGAAUCACUGCUUUAGAGCCUUAUCAUUAACUGAGAGUUUUCCAUUUGUUAGUAGCAGUAAGUUAGUCCCAUGUCUAUAGUUUGAAGUUCAGUCCUGGUUGUUAUCAAGUAAAGAAUCAUUUAUUUAUGGCUGUCAAGUGAACUUGCUUUAUUUCUCUCAGCCCUUUUUGUAGGAGACGGGCAUCAGCUUCCCAAGUAAGUGUUUGGCACUUCGGUUUGCACUCAGUAAACGAAGUGUGCAAUGCACAAAUGCAAGAAAACAAACUAACUUUUCACCUGUAGAGCCAGGUGUGACUGAGACGUAACUUCCCCAGCAGCAUGUCUCAGUCUGUAUCUGUUGAUCAGCAGACUAUUGCAGACUUCAGGGCAACCUGUCAUCACAUUUUACAAGAACUAAGUUGAUAUUGGGACAGAUCUAUCCAGGAAUGUGUGAAGGGCUGCUGAAGCCAGUGGAGUUCUGGCAGGAGCAGUGUGGUCCAUUGGCAGCUUCUUGCCCAUAAAUAUUAAAUUAUUUUUUAAUCCAUAUUAUACAAGUUAAAUCUAAUCAGGCUACAUGUAAUUUAGUUUAUAAAUACUGAUCCCAGUGUCUCUUGUGCUAGUCAGACUGAAAAUUAAGUUUCUAGCUUGUAUUUUCUAUUGUGAAUGAAGGAGCUUAUUGAAGUUUGAAGAAUAGCUACUUUACAGAGCAGGUUGAGCAUUUCUCAUGCACCUAACUAUAUUUAUGAUCAACUGUAACAGCUUAAAGAGCUGUUGUGUUUAACACAUGAUUAAAGAAACUUUAAAUUAUGUUUUUAACUAAUAGAUUGGAAUGCUUCUAGUUUACCUGCCAGAAUGGGGGGGAGGGGAGGGGGAGGGUGUGUGUGACAGUGCUUCAUAUUUGAUUUGACAAGAUGAAAAAUAAAACUAAUGUAGGUGUUAAGCUAGACAUUUGAAUUUAGGAGCUUAUUGCACAAGACGUUUUACCUACUCACUUGAAACCAGCAAAAUCAAUGAAACUUUAAAAUGAAAUAAUUAUAGGCAGUGCUUUGAAUGGACACUGAACAGGAAAGCAUGUAUUUCUAGAAAGCCUUCUUCAUAAUUGCACUCCUGAUUCUCCUAUUUAAAUGUAUACUGGUACAACUUGUGUGGCUUUCAGGUGGUUACACCUGAUUCAUAUCAUGGGUGAGAAGACAGUCUGGCUUUAAAGAUGGAAGAAAAUUGUAUUGAACUUGUGAUGUCAUAUUAUCAGCAAAGCAGAAAUGUUAUCUUGAUUUAAAAGGAUAUUAGUUAUGAUCCAAAGCCUAUUGAAGUCAAUGGUAGGAUUCCCAUAGACUUCAGCGGGCUUUGGUUCUGAGGUACUUAGAAUGGCUAAGCCAUGUGGUAUUUCUAAAAGCAGACUUCCUUCCUAUUUGUAGCAAAAUAUCAGAUUCAAAUCAGGAGGAAAAAAACGGGUGUGUGGUUUCUGUUGUUGUUUAGGUUUGUUUUUCUGCUUCACAAUUUUUUUAAAUUUUAGAUUGGGCAAGAAGGAAAGAAGUCAUUUUGUUUCAGAAUUGCUUCCCAUAAUUCCACCUUUAUGAACAGGCAAAAGGUUUGGCAAGUAUUAAAGAAAUAUUUUUCAGGUCCCAAUGGGAAGGGUCUUUUUAACACAUUGAUUUUUGGCUUUACAAAAUCUAACAUUUCUUAAAGCUGACCUGCCUGAAUCUCUUGUAUUUUAUUAAAUAUUUCAACUCUCAGUGGCAAGCCAAGUUAUGAAAUGUAUCUGUAAGUGUUCUAUAUUAAAAUAAUUAGUGGUAACAAUGCUAAUGUAUGCAUUUAAAUAGUUAUAGGCUGGCUUUUCGCCCUGCCUCAGGUUGAUGAUUAACUUGUCUUUUAUAAAUAUACUCAACACUUCUUUUCCUAAUUGUAUGACUUUUGCUAGGAAUGAACAAGCUGUUUAAAAUACUAUGUUCUGGAAGUGUUACUUAUUUAAGUCCAGGAAUUGAGAAUAGGAAUGACUGUUCACACAACUGUGGGCUUCAGGAUUGUUUCCUGUGUCUUAAUUGAAAUAACAUGUCAUAGCAAUAGUCCUUGUUCUGUUUUUACUCAAAGCCAGAAUAUUGCCAAAACGAACCAAGUAUUACAUUGUUAACCACUGGUGAUGCACGUGCUACUGGGAUGAUGAUCAUCAAGCAAAACAAGUAAGGUUUCAGUUUAGCAUGGGGGAAACUGGGGUAGACAGACAUAUCCAUGCUCUUCAAGUGCAACUCUUCUUUGCACAAUUGAUUUCAGAAGCAAGGCUUUUUUGUUUUUUUUGUGUGUGUGUGGGGGUUUUUUUUUUUUUUUUUUGUAAUAUCUUAUUGGAUCAGUUGUGUAGUCUGGAGAGAUGUUAGACAAGCCUUUGGCACAAAGUGUCCGUCAGGUGUGGGAAAGAAGACCUGAGGGUGGGCGUUUUGUGCCUGAAAGCUUGCCUAACAGCUCUUCCAGCUUUACAGUUGGUCCAGUAAAGCAGGUGGUCAGCCUGCAGCACGAAUGUCACAAGUGGCAUGGGCAGUGUUUGUGUGUAGCAUGAUCAGGGCUGGAGGGGAGGAAAACAUUCAGCAUGGUGGUAGAUGGAGCAGAAAGCACAGCAGCAGGUCAGGUAGGGAAUACAAGGCAAGGAAGCAGAAAACCGGCAGGAAAAGGGCUCAGAGUAGCAGUUGUGGAGGGCUAAUUUGUGGCAUGCCUAUCCAAAAAAAAGUUUGACCUCAGCUGCAUUAAGACAUCACCAAAGUAAAACCCUUGCUUCUCUCAUUUCCUGGACUGUCGUGGCUGCAACACUGAUUUUGAAUCGGAAUCAAGUUAACUGGUAUCUGUUGUUGAAGGUACCACUGGAGACUUGCUUGACACCUUCCAAAUGAGGUGGAGUCUCUGUGCCUCUCAGAAUCUGCUGUUCAAAAUAGUUCUUUUUUUACUCAGGACAGCUUUCAACAGUCCAGAUUUAUGUUUUUUGAGGAAAAACCCUUGCCAGGGUAAGAGAAAAAUGGAUUUGGUACUUGCCAUAGAUUCUGUAGUUGGAAUGUGGUAGCUCCUGUGUUUCAAGUAAAUGGGUCAAAUUGAACUAAAAUGGUAAUUUAAAGCAUUAAUACAUAUACUAGGGCUAUGCGAACCUUUGGUCCUUGAUUCGAUUUGGUGGAGAUUCGGCCCAAUUUGGUGGCCGAAUCUGAAUCGAAUCAGAGGACCCUUUAAUCUCUCCAAAUCGAAUUGGAACUCUCUGAUUCAGUUUGGAAUGAUUUGGCGAUUCGGACAGAGACAGCUUGAAAUGUUUUUCUACAUACCUCUAGGUAGCAGGGGCUCAUGAAUGCUGUGAUGCUGGGGUGCAUGCACUCCUGUGGGAUGCUCCAUCCACCCUAGCAUUGCAGCGAUCAUGAGCUGCGCCUGCUACCUCAAGUUAUGUAGAACAAACUUACACAGCUGUGUCUGUCCAAAUCAGCAUUGAAUCUUCAGAUUCAGCCAAGUCGAAUCAGGGACAGUGAUCCAAAUCAACAAAGAAAUCAUGGUGGGAAGUAUGAUAGUUAAAAUAGCUUCUUACUGCUAGUGGCCUUAAAAUACAACACUCUCUUACAAUCACUUUCUCCCUGCUCUUCCAGUAUCAGGUUCCCUGGCAAGGUCUAUUUUCAUUCUCUUGCUUUUUGUAUGGCUGUGGAAGUGUAACACCAGUAGAGAUGCACUUUCCCAGGUGCAUUACUGGCUGGAAAGAGCUGGUGUAAUUGUUUUAUUCCUGUCCUUCAACCCCUGUUGCUGUAAUGCUCUUGCUCUAGCUGGGUGGACACUCUCCAGAUGGAUACUGCCGGCAGAGUGCAUCUGAGCCUGCAGGUUCAUAAUGUGAGUAAUUUUCAGUUGCCCUAAGAAUAGAGGGCUUAAAAAAACACCUUUCAUGUGCAAGUGCCGUGUGAAGGAAAGUAACAAAAUUCUCAUCUCUUCAUAGAUCUAGGCCUUGCUGUUAUUAGGAGCGCAAUUCCCCUUCUCCCAAGUUUGUAUGCAACUUGUCACUGAUUGUGUCUUUGUCAACAUAGUUUAUGUCCAUCGGAGAAAUCAUUUUAACUACUGGUAAUACCAAACAGCUUCAUGAUAUAAAAAGUGUGUCCACCAGGAGGCUCUAUCCACUAAAACCUUUGUUGUGUAGUGGACCAACUCUCCAGUUUGCUUCUCCUUCCCAGUUCAACUAAUUACUUUUGCCCCAGCUCUCUUUAACUGCUUGUACAAGCUCAAAAUAUGAUGGUGUCCUGGAUAGAGUGACUUUUUUCAGAAUAGAACCACUCUACAGUGUUAAAUGAAGGCAAGUACUUGUAUAUUUAUUUGUUAAGCAGCACAAUAAAAGAUUAGAAUUAAAACCUGACUGGUGAGUACUUCCAUAUUUGUAUGGCAAAAACCUUUUGCAGUUUCUUCACCCUAUGGUAGAAAAAGCGCUUCACUAAAUUAUGUUGAUAUUAUGUUUUUACAUAAUUAUAUGGUUUUCCCUAAAUUGAAUCAUAAUAAGAAACAUUGUAUUGUGUACCUGCAGAGCUGCUAAGUAUAAAUGUUCACUAGUUAAGCACUCAUGUUAAGUUUGAUCAGUAUUAAAGAGUUAAAAAGUCACUUCAGAUGUUACACAGAACUUAAAACAGCUCUACAAAUCACCAGAGUAAAAGCAAGUGCAGUUUUUUUUUCUCCUAACCUCUCCCUUGGAAUGAUACUGAACUCUUUGCUGAAACCUACAGGAAAUGCACACCCUUUUUUUCAGGUAACCAGCAAAAAUGUCAGCCUGAAUUAUUAUGCUAAAAUUAAAUGAAAAGUGGCAGGCCAUUUUUUGUGGUUUUUACCAUAAUUUUCCUGCCCAGUAGCUGUUGAAGGACUUGCCUAAAUGAAGGUAACUGAUUGAACACUAGUUGAGGAAAAGUGAUGCUAGCUCUACCUGUAAUGCUGUCAAAAGUCAGAGUAAAUGGGAGGGGGGAUUUCCACCUUUCUGUUGCAGGUCUGUAGAAACAAAAUAUUAAAACAAUAGCCUCCUCAUUAUUACUGCUUGUUUAUUCUCUGCUGUAAAUUUGGAGAACUACCCCCUUGAAAGUGGUGUAAAGUUUAGUGACUUGGCUUACGUGUACAGUAGAAAGUACCGUUUGGGGACUACCAAAACUGGUUGCCUCAAAAUUGGGAAAAACUGUUUGGUAGAUCUUCAGAAGCUUAGGAAUAAUUAAUGUUUAAGGGUUUGCUUAAUAUUUGAUGUUUGCUUAAUGCAGGUUUUGCUGUUGUUCCAAGUGACCCAAAUCAGUCUGGUCCAUCAUUGGGUUUUUAAUGUUUUGAAGGUGAAAAGAUACUAGCAUCCUUGCUGGUUUUGCAGGAAUCUGAUUCUUUAUUAUGUUUCAUAUAAUCAAGUUUCUAGUGUAGUACAGGUCAGUCACAUCUUACAUAGGGGUUAGGUGCUAAAGUCAGCGCAUAAGGUGAAAAUCGCAUAAGGCGAAAAUCGGCGACUAUGUGCGGGGUGGGGGGCGGGGCUUGAGUUUGCACGCGGCACCGUGCUUAGAGCUGUGCGGCUGAUGGCAACAGCGCAGCGUGGGGUGGUGGGGAUGGCUGUGUGCUGCCUGGCCACCACCACAGUGCCGCUGCUGCCCGGUGGCUUGGCCACACAGCUCCAGGCACGACUCCAUGGCAACAGUGGGAGGUUUUGGAGGCAGUGGCUGUCACUGCCGUAAUGGGCCUCCAGGUAAGCGGCAGUGCUGUGUGCAAGCUCAAGCCCCUCCCACCCCGCGUAUAGUUGAAUUUGCGCAAGUUAAAUGCGUGUAUGAUGCGACUGACCUGUAUAGUGACCUGAGUGCUGCUUUUGUAAUAAAUCUUGGGCUAGAUAAAAUUCAAGGCAUGCAUUUGCUAAGAACUUGGGAUCUUCCAGAGAUGCAAAUAUGAACCCAGGAGUUUUAUACUGUAUUUACUAUUGCUGUAUCUAAAGCUUUACCUCAGAAUUUAUAACUGACUGUUGUUGGUAGUGUUACACCUAUGACUGAUUCCCCCCCCCCCCCAUUUAGUGGCUGAUUUACAACCAGCAGAUCUGUUAUGCUGUCUAGUUGAAGACAGUAGUAUAUUUUCAGAUUGUCCAGGUAGUUAUGCCUAUAGUUAUGAUGGCCUGCCACUUUUCAUGUCAUUUUGGCCCAAUUAAAUAAUUCAGGCUGAAUAUCUUUGCUGUUUGCCUGAAAAAAGUGUGCAUUUCCUGAAGGUUUCAGUUAAGAGUUCAGUAUCAUUCCAAGGGUGAAAUUAGGGUGAAAACAAUUGUACUUGCUUUUGCCUAUGGUGAUUAAUUCAUAGAGCUGUUUUUAGUUCUGUGCCAAAACAUAGAGCCACACAUUAUUUCAUGAUUUUUCUGGUAUUUGAAACUUGUAUAUGGCAUGAGUGUGCUUUCUGCCAACCCUGUGAAAAUUCAUUUUGGGCCCAUGUUAUGUGCCUCUGCAAAAAAAAAUCUCACUGCUGUGCAGUCAGUGAUAGUUUGUUAGCAUUUGGGCACUGAACCUUCAGAGAAUUUCACUUAGGCUUGAACUUGAUUGGUCCCUUCACAGCUUGUAAUGUUACUCACAGGAGCCAAUCGGGCCUUCACUGGCAAUUGCUUCUCCCAGCUGCUGGGGGCUGCUAUUGUAUUAGUCAAAUGAGAAGAGGGAGACCGCUGCUCCACUUUUAGCCCUAUUUAUGGUGUUUCCCACAUAGUGGGAAGGAACAGAAGAAACACCCUAACAAUGCUUAAGAGAAGCAAAAGGUUUGAGAGGAUAGGGGCUGGAAAGGUAAAGUGACUGACAGGGUGGGAAUAGGGAUGCAAGCAAGCUACAAGCAGGAUGAGGAAUACUUAUGGGGCAGGAGAGGGGGACAGUAUAUGUGGGGAGGAGCAGGAAGGUAUGUAACCACUAUAGAUGCUCCCCUCUGGAAGCCAGGAAUGCUGAGCGUCUGCAUUCUUUUGAUCUCUUGCAGAUAGUUGUGAAACCAGCUGACAAAGCUUUCAUACCUUUUGGGGCAGAUUGAGAUAGAAGAUAAGAUGCUUUUAAUACCCAGUAGCAGAGAAAAGGGCUGUAGAUGUCAAGAGCCCCACCUGUGUGCAUGUCCCCUGCCUCAUCCAGUGCAGAGUUACCCUAUUUUUGUCAUGCGUCAAGGAUAUGUCAUGAAAGUAGCUGUUGUCUCUAUUGCAAAAGUUGAAGAGGACGUGGUGAAUGAAAUGGGAACUGCAGUGAGGGAAGGGUUGCUGUUAUGGUGAAGGUAUCUUAAUGCUGCCUCUGCCGUAGAGUGCUUUAUAUGAAGUUGGGCAAGUCAUAUAAAUGAAAAUAUUUAUAGGUAACUA